rnacentral:rRNA from 1 species
CAGAGCCCGUUAAAGGGUGAUGGCGUGCCUUUUGUAGAAUGAACCGGCGAGUUACGUUAUCGUGCGAGGUUAAGUAGAAGAUACGGAGCCGAAGCGAAAGCGAGUCUUAAUAGGGCGACAGUACGAUGAUGUAGACCCGAAACCGUGUGAUCUAGCCAUGACCAGGUUGAAGUUCAGGUGAAACUGAAUGGAGGACCGAACCGACCCCCGUUGAAAAGUUGGCGGAUGAGUUGUGGCUAGGGGAGAAAUUCCAAUCGAACACGGAUAUAGCUGGUUCUCCCCGAAAUAGCUUUAGGGCUAGCGUCGAGGUAGAGUCGCAUGGAGGUAGAGCACUGAAUGUACGAUGGCCCCAUCCCGGGGUACUGAGUAUAAUCAAACUCCGAAUGCCAUGCAGACAUACUCGGCAGUCAGACUGUGGGUGAUAAGGUCCAUGGUCAAAAGGGAAACAGCCCAGACCGCCAGUUAAGGUCCCAAAAUGUAUGCUAAGUGGAAAAGGAUGUGGGGAUGCACAGACAACUAGGAGGUUGGCUCAGAAGCAGCCACCCUUCAAAGAGUGCGUAACAGCUCACUAGUCGAGUGACCCUGCGCCGAAAAUGUACCGGGGCUAAGCAUACUACCGAAGCUGCGGAUUCAACUUCAGAGUUGAGUGGUAGGGGAGCGUUGCAUGCACGUAGAAGCCGUACCGUAAGGAGCGGUGGAGAGCAUGGAAGAGAGAAUGCCGGUGUGAGUAGCGAGAUGUAGGUGAGAAUCCUACACACCGAUAGCCCAAGGAUUCCAGGGGAAGGUUCGUCCGCCCUGGGUAAGUCGGGACCUAACGCGAGGCCGAAAGGCGUAGUGGAUGGAAAACAGGCAGAUAUUCCUGUACCCGCGAUGGAAAUGAAGGAAUGACGGAGAAGGCUAGUGUGAGCCACUGAACGGAUUGUGGUCAAAGCAUAUAGCAGGCUGACAGUGAAAUGCGUCAGCGGGAUGUAAGAUGUGACAGGUAAGGGAACGUCCUCGGACAAGUACUGAAGCACAUGAUGCCAGCUUCCAAGAAAAGUUUCUAGUGAUAAUUCCAUAGCGGCCCGUACCAAAACCGACACAGGUGGGCAAGGAGAGAAUCCUGAGGUGAGCGAGAGAACUGUUGCCAAGGAACUCGGCAAAAUGACUCCGUAAGUUAGCGAUAAGGAGUGCUCUUGUAAAAGAGAGCCGCAGUGAAGAGGCCCAAGCGACUGUUUAACUAAAACACAGCUCUCUGCAAAGUCGCAAGACGAAGUAUAGGGGGUGACGCCUGCCCGGUGCUGGAAGGUUAAGAGGAUUUGUCAUCCGCAAGGAGAAGCAAUGAAUUGAAGCCCCAGUGAACGGCGGCCGUAACUAUAACGGUCCUAAGGUAGCGAAAUUCCUUGUCAGGUAAGUUCUGACCCGCACGAAAGGCGUAACGAUUUGGGCGCUGUCUCGGCAGCAGACUCGGUGAAAUCUUAGUACCUGUGAAAAUGCAGGUUACCCGCAACUAGACGGAAAGACCCCAUGGAGCUUUACUGUAGCCUGAUAUUGAAUUUUGAUCAAAGAUGUACAGGAUAGGUGGGAGGCGAAGAGACGUGUACGCCAGUAUACGAGGAGCCGCUGUUGGGAUACCACUCUUGUUUGAUUGAAGUUCUAACCUGCACCCAUGAACUGGGUGAGGGACCGUGUCAGGUGGGCAGUUUGACUGGGGCGGUCGCCUCCUAAAGAGUAACGGAGGCGCCCAAAGGUACGCUCAGAUUGGAUGGAAAUCAAUCGACGAGUGCAAAUGCAGAAGCGUGCUUGACUGUGAGACAAACAAGUCGAACAGGGACGAAAGUCGGGAUUAGUGAUCCGGCGGUGCCGAAUGGAAGGGCCGUCGCUCAACGGAUAAAAGCUACCCUGGGGAUAACAGGCUGAUCUCGCCCAAGAGUUCACAUCGACGGCGAGGUUUGGCACCUCGAUGUCGGCUCAUCGCAUCCUGGAGCUGAAGUCGGU